rnacentral:rRNA from 1 species
AUGACAGGCGCCCGGUGGUCGUUUGCGGUGGCACGAUCGGCGCAAGUCCUGCAUAUAUUUCCCUUGCGAUGCUCGUCGUCAAAGUCGGAGCUGUCGAUUGCUUGUGCGUGUGGCCAUCUGUUGGGAUGUGCCGUCCUGGCUUCUCUGGCUGUUUUCUUCUUUGCAGUUUCAGGUUCCACAAUCGUUCGAUACAUAAUUCACCACACAGGGCGGUUCCACGUCGGUGGCCAGGUUGGUCGAUGGUGCCCAUGUCAUAUGGGUUUUUCGCCAAUUAACCGGGCAAUUCUUUUUUUCUUAAUCAAUAAAAGUGGCCAGUCUUUUGCCUCUUUUUCUAAGGUACUCCCUCCGUCUGGAAAUACUUGUCAUCAAAAUGGAUAA